rnacentral:tRNA from 1 species
GCCCUCGUAGUUCAAUGGAUAGAACAAAAGUUUCCUAAACUUUAGAUUUGAGUUCGAUUCUCAACGUGGGUAC